GAGUUUGAUCAUGGCUCAGAACGAACGCUGGCGGCGUGGAUAAGACAUGCAAGUCGAACGGGAGAAUUGCUAGCUUGCUAAUAAUUCUCUAGCGGCGCACGGGUGAGUAACACGUGAGUAACCUGCCCCGAGAGCGGGAUAGCCCUGGGAAACUGGGAUUAAUACCGCAUAGUAUCGAAAGAUUAAAGCAGCAAUGCGCUUGGGGAUGGGCUCGCGGCCUAUUAGUUAGUUGGUGAGGUAACGGCUCACCAAGGCGAUGACGGGUAGCCGGUCUGAGAGGAUGUCCGGCCACACUGGAACUGAGACACGGUCCAGACACCUACGGGUGGCAGCAGUCGAGAAUCAUUCACAAUGGGGGAAACCCUGAUGGUGCGACGCCGCGUGGGGGAAUGAAGGUCUUCGGAUUGUAAACCCCUGUCAUGUGGGAGCAAAUUAAAAAGAUAGUACCACAAGAGGAAGAGACGGCUAAACUCUGUGCCAGCCGCCGCGGU
rnacentral:rRNA from 1 species